rnacentral:rRNA from 1 species
AGAGUUUGAUUAUGGCUCAGGAUGAACGCUGGCGGCGUGCCUAACACAUGCAAGUCGAGCGAAGCGAUUCAGAGGAAGUUUUCGGAUGGAAUCCGAAUUGACUGAGCGGCGGACGGGUGAGUAACGCGUGGGUAACCUGCCUCAUACAGGGGGAUAACAGUUAGAAAUGACUGCUAAUACCGCAUAAGCGCACGUGACCGCAUGGUCGAGUGUGAAAAACUCCGGUGGUAUGAGAUGGACCCGCGUCUGAUUAGGUAGUUGGUGGGGUAACGGCCUACCAAGCCGACGAUCAGUAGCCGACCUGAGAGGGUGACCGGCCACAUUGGGACUGAGACACGGCCCAA